UACAGAGGUCUCAAGCGUUGUUCGGAUUCAUUGGGCGUAAAGGGUGCGUAGGUGGCGCUGUAAGUCGGGUGUGAAUUUCGGAGCUUAACUCCGGAAACUGCAUUCGAUACUGCGGUGCUUGAGGACUGGAGAGGAGUACGUGGAAUUCAUGGUGUAGCAGUGAAAUGCGUAGAGAUCAUGAGGAAGACCAGUGGCGAAGGCGGGUCUC
rnacentral:rRNA from 1 species